UUGCCUGUGGGAUAAUCCUUACCUGUUCCUCCUUUGGAGGACCUAUUAGAACAUGAUGAUUGGAGAAUGCAUGAAACGUGAUUAACGUCUCUGCCUAAUCGGGACUUGCAACAACCCGAUUGCUCCUAUCUGAU
rnacentral:snoRNA from 1 species